rnacentral:rRNA from 1 species
UACGGAGGGAGCUAGCGUUGUUCGGAAUUACUGGGCGUAAAGCGCGCGUAGGCGGCUUUGUAAGUUAGAGGUGAAAUCCUGGAGCUCAACUCCAGAACUGCCUUUGAUACUGGCGAUCUUGAGUCCGGGAGAGGUGAGUGGAACUGCGAGUGUAGAGGUGAAAUUCGUAGAUAUUCGCAAGAACACCAGUGGCGAAGGCGGCUCACUGGCCCGGUACUGACGCUGAGGUGCGAAAGCGUGGGGAGCAAACAGG